rnacentral:misc_RNA from 1 species
CCGAGUGAGGGCUCACGCCCGACCUCCAACCCCAUGUAAUUCAUACCAUGUUGCCUCGGGGGCGACCCGGCCUUCGGGCGUCGGGGCCCCCGGUGGACCAUUAACACUGCAUCUGUGCGUCUGAGUGAUUAAAUCAAUCAAUUA